UGAGAGGAGCUGUCCUUAGUACGAGAGGACCGGGAUGGACACACCGCUGGUGUACCAGUUGUCUUGCCAAAGGCAUCGCUGGGUAGCUAUGUGUGGACGGGAUAAGUGCUGAAAGCAUCUAAGCAUGAAGCCCCCCUCAAGAUGAGAUUUCCCAUAGCGCAAGCUAGUAAGAUCCCUGAAAGAUGAUCAGGUUGAUAGGUCAGAGGUGGAAGCGUGGCGACAUGUGUAGCUGACUGAUACUAAUCGAUCGAGGACUUAACCAAAC
rnacentral:rRNA from 1 species